rnacentral:rRNA from 1 species
GACGAACGCUGGCGGCGUGCUUAACACAUGCAAGUCGAACGAAAAGGCCCUGCUUUUGUGGGGUGCUCUAGUUGCGAACGGGUGAGUAACACGUGAGUAACCUGCCCUUGACUUUGGGAUAACCUCAGGAAACUGGGGCUAAUACCGGAUAGGAGCUCCUGCUGCUUGGUGGGGGUUCGAAAGUUUCGGCGGUUGGGGAUGGACUCGCGGCUUAUCAGCUUGUUGGUGGGGUAGUGGCUUACCAAGGCUUUGACGGGUAGCCGGCCUGCGAGGGUGACCGGCCACAUUGGGACUGAGAUACGGCCCAGACUCCUACGGGAGGCAGCAGUGGGGAAUAUUGCACAAUGGGCUGAAGCAUGAUGCAGCAACGCCGCGUGCGGGAUGACGGCCUUCGGGUUGUAAACCGCUUUCGCCUGUGACGAAGCGUGAGUGACGGUAAUGGGUAAAGAAGCACCGGCUAACUACGUG